rnacentral:lncRNA from 1 species
GUUACAUAGAGGUGAGCUAAAUGAUUUAUUAUUGUGAGUUUCUACUAGACCUACAAUAUCAUAUAAACUUAUUUGUUUCAAUAGACUAGAAUCAUUAAAUUUGUCAAAAUCUUUUGUCUUUAUACCAUCAACGUUCCACACGCAUAGAUUUAACUGCCUCUUUUUGGUUUUUGCCAUGGCUUACGGUUAACAGGCCCUCUGCGUUUGAUGAAUGGGAUACCUAGAAUCUGAUCCACUCACUUCCUGAUAUUAGCGGCAAGAACUUUUACACCUACAUCACUUAAAUGAUAGCCAUCAUUAUUUAUAAACUUUUUAUUUAUUUCACCA